rnacentral:rRNA from 1 species
GAUGAACGCUAGCUACAGGCUUAACACAUGCAAGUCGAGGGGUAACGAGAGGAAAGCUUGCUUUCCUUGUCGACGACCGGCGCACGGGUGAGUAACGCGUAUCCAACCUGCCCCCAACUAGGGAAUAACCUUGCGAAAGUAAGACUAAUACCCUAUAAUUUCCUCAGAUGACAUCUGACGAGGAAUAAAGAUAUAUCGGUUGCGGAUGGGGAUGCGUCUGAUUAGCUUGUUGGCGGGGUAACGGCCCACCAAGGCAACGAUCAGUAGGGGUUCUGAGAGGAAGGUCCCCCACAUUGGAACUGAGACACGGUCCAAACUCCUACGGGAGGCAGCAGUGAGGAAUAUUGGUCAGUGGGCGGAAGCCUGAACCAGCCAAGUAGCGUGCAGGAUGACGGCCCUAUGGGUUGUAAACUGCUUUUAUACAGGAAUAAAGUUAGCCACGUGUGGUUAUUUGUAGGUACUGUAUGAAUAAGGACCGGCUAAUUCCGUGCCAGCCGCCGCGGUAA